UCUGCGGCCCAAAUCGUAUCCCCAAUUCCAUCUCGAUGCUGCCGCCUUCGCCUCCUCCUCUUUGAGACGACGGCGAAUUCGAAUUCCCUCCUCCCUCGAUCGGCCUCCUCCCUCUUCGUCCUCCUCAAUCAUUCCUAGAUCGUGGCCUUAAUGGCGGUGGUGCUGCGGAAGGUCUUGGGCUCCGUGCUCCAUCGCUCCGGAUCCAGCUCCAGUCGCCAUAACUCGGAACUCCCGGAAGACCACCCUCCCCUCGGAGAUCUAAACGUCAUCCCCAACGACGUCUUCGUGCAGAUCCUCCUGCUGCUCGGACCCCGGGAUGCCGCGCGGACCAGCUCCGUGUGCAAGUCAUGGAGAGCCCUGGUGUCGGGCAACGCUAUCUGGGUUUACUUUAUCAUGAACGAGAAGGAGCCGUGGGAUGCUUUGGUCUUCGCCGAAACCCACUUGCAGUUAUGCUUUGUUCCUCCAUCACAGUUGUCAUUUAUGAACAUUUAUUCAAAGCGUGCAAUGGUUCCAGGUUCUAUUAUUAUUGAUGGUGGCUCUGGCUAUUGCAAGUAUGGUUGGAGCAAGUCUUGUUCUCCAUCUGGACGUUGUGCUACAUUCUUAGAAUUUGGCAAUCUGGAGUCUCCAAUGCAUGCAAGAUUUCACUAUUUUUUUACCACAAUAUUUAGCAGAAUGCAAGUGAAGACAUCAUCCCAACCAGUUGUUGUCUCCCUUCCUAUAUGCUAUGUUGAUGGUCAGCGCAUCUGCACGAAUACUGAAUCCGCUAGGGCAUCUAGAAAGCAAUUAAAAGAAGCAAUCUACUCGGUUCUUUUUGAGAUGAAUGUUCCUGCUGUUUGUGCAAUUGAUCAGGCAGUGUUGGCUUUAUUUGCUGCAAGACGAACUUCUGGAAUUGUUGUCAACAUUGGCUUCCAUGUUACUUCAGUAGUCCCAAUUUUCGAAGGUAUUGUUAGGCAUGAUAUCGGCAUUGAAAUAGUGGGACAAGGUGCUCUAAAGCUCACUGCAUUUCUCAGAGAAUUAAUGCAGCAAAGAAACAUAAAUUUUGAGUCUCUAUACACUGUUAGAACCAUCAAGGAGAAACUGUGCUACGUGGCUGCUGACUAUGAGGCAGAGCUACAAAAAGAUACUGAAGCUUCAUGUGAGGUUGUUGGUGAGGGUUGGUUCACUCUAUCAAAAGAGCGGUUUAAGACUGGGGAAAUCCUUUUCCAACCACUUAUUGGCGCACACUGGGUUUGCAUCGAGCUGUGGCUCUCUGCAUGGAUCAUUGCGUGGCUGCUGAAGCCACCCCUGAUAAUAGAUGGUUUAAAACUGUGGUUUUGGCGGGUGGAACUUCUUGUUUACCUGGACUGUCAGAGAGACUUGAGAAAGAACUGUGCAAGAUUCUCCCUGCCUCAAUGUCUAAUGGUAUAGAGGUUAUUCCUCCUCCAUGUGGUGCUGAUUCUGCCUGGCACGGUGCAAAGAUCGUCAGCAGUAUGAGCACCUUCAUGGAUUCAUGGUGUAUUACGAAGAAACAAUAUCGGCAGAUGAUGCGACGCAACAUGAUAUGGUGAUACUUUUAUUUUUGUUUUCACUUAUUAAAAUAUAGGUGUUUUUUUUAUAUAUUACCGGGGCAGUGCUUAGAUGCCCCUCGUUGAUGCAGCACGGUGGAGCAAAUGCCGCUCGACUUCUUCAUGAUGUUUUAAUAUCUGAUCCUUUGAAUAUUGUUAUCGCUCAAGGGAUGGCCAAGUAUAAAACGCCCUACCAAUCAGGAAAAUCUGUCAUUUUCUUGUAAAUAAAUAAAUCAACAAUGUAGCCAUGUAGGGUGGUUAUGAACUAUAAAUUUGCAUAGUCGCGAAAAAAAAAUGAUUAGCUUUUUUC